rnacentral:rRNA from 1 species
GAUGAACGCUGGCGGCGUGCCUAAUACAUGCAAGUCGAGCGAACAGACGAGAAGCUUGCUCCUCUGACGUUAGCGGCGGACGGGUGAGUAACACGUGGAUAACCUACCUAUAAGACUGGGAUAACUUCGGGAAACCGGAGCUAAUACCGGAUAAUAUAUUGAACCGCAUGGUUCAAAAGUGAAAGACGGUCUUGCUGUCACUUAUAGAUGGAUCCGCGCCGCAUUAGCUAGUUGGUAAGGUAACGGCUUACCAAGGCAACGAUGCGUAGCCGACCUGAGAGGGUGAUCGGCCACACUGGAACUGAGACACGGUCCAGACUCCUACGGGAGGCAGCAGUAGGGAAUCUUCCGCAAUGGGCGAAAGCCUGACGGAGCAACGCCGCGUGAGUGAUGAAGGUCUUCGGAUCGUAAAACUCUGUUAUUAGGGAAGAACAAAUGUGUAAGUAACUAUGCACGUCUUGACGGUACCUAAUCAGAAAGCCACGGCUAACUACGUG